UACUUCAUCUAAGCAAUAUUAUGUUGGUUAUAGCUUCUUUUGGGAGAAAAUGAGUAUAAAUGUUCUCUAAACACUCAUAAUUCAUCUCUAACUCUUGUAAUUAGUCAAAUGCAUUGGAUUGUGACACAUUUUGACCAUAGAAACACUAACAAAUCUAUUGACUCCUUCUAAGCAAAUUUUGUUUGUUUUAGACUCUUUUGGGAGAAAAUGGGUAUAAGUGUUGUCUAAAAACUCCUAAUCCAUCUCUAACUCCUAUAUUUAGUCGAUUGCAUUGGAUUGUGACAUAUUUUGACCAUAAAAAUACUAACAAAGCUAUUUAGUACUUCUAAGCAAGUUUUGUUGGUUUUAGACUCUUUUGGGAGAAAAUGGGUAUAAGUGUUCUCUAAAAACUCCUUAUCCAUCUCUAACUCUUAUAAUUACUCAAAUGCAUUAGAUUGUGAUACAUUUUGACCAUAGAAACACUAACAAAUCUAUUAACAGUUUCAAAGCAAGUUUUGUUGGUUUUAGACUCUUUUGGGACAAAAUGGGUAUAAGUCUUGUCUAAACAAUCCUAAUCCAUCUAUAACUCUUAUAAUUAGUCAAUUGCAUUGGAUUGUGACACAUUUUGACCAUAAAAAUACUAACAAAGCUAUUUACUGCUUCCAAGCAAUGUUUUGUUGGUUUUAGCUUCUUUUAGAAGAAAAUGGAUAUAAGUGUUGUCUAAACACUCAUAAGCCAUCUCUAACUCUUAAAAUUACUCAAAUCCGUUAGAUUAUGAUACAUUUUGAUUAUAGAAACACUAACAAAGCUAUUUACUCUUUCUAAGCAAUAUUUUGUUGGUUAUAGCUUCUUUUAGGAGAAAAUGGGUAUAAGUGUUCUCUAAGUACUCCUAAUCCAUCUCUUACUCUUAUAAUUAGUCAAUUGCAUUGGUAUGUGACACAUCUUGACAAUAGAAAUACUAACAAAGCUAUUUACAGCUUCUAAGCAAUAUUUUGUUGGUUUUAGCUUCUUUUAGGAGAAAUUAGAUAUAAGUAUUGUCUAAACACUCUUAAUCCAUCUCUAACUCUUAUAAUUACUCAAAUGCAUUAGAUUGUGAUACAUUUUGAUUAUAGAAACACUAACAAUUCUAUUUACUGUUUCUAAGCAAUAUUUUGUUGGUUGUAGCUUCUUUUGGGAGUAAAUGGGUAUAAGUGUUGUCUAAACACUCCUAAUCCAUCGCUAGCUCUUAUAAUUAGUCAAAUGCAUUGGAUUGUGACACAUUUUGACUAUAGAAACACUAACAAAUCUAUUGACUGCUUCGAAGCAAGUUUUGUUGGUUUUAGACUCUUUUGGGAGAAAAUGGGUAUAGGUCUUGUCUAAACAAUCCUAAUCCAUCUCUAACUCUUAUAAUUAGUCAAUUGCAUUGGAUUGUGACACAUUUUGACCAUAAAAAUACUAACAAAGCUAUUUACUGCUUCCAUGCAAUGUUUUGUUGGUUUUAUACUCUUUUGGAUGAAAAUGGGUAUAAGUGUUUUCUAAACACUCCUAAUCCAUCUCUAACUCUUAUAAUUAGUCGAUUGCAUUGGAUUGUGACACAUUAUGACCAUAAAAACACUAACAAAGCUAUUUACUUCUUCUAACCAAUAUUAUGUUGGUUAUAGCUUCUUUUGGGAGU
rnacentral:sRNA from 1 species